rnacentral:rRNA from 1 species
CCUACGGGAGGCAGCAGUAGGGAAUCUUCCACAAUGGGCGAAAGCCUGAUGGAGCAACGCCGCGUGGGUGAAGAAGGUCUUCGGAUCUUAAAACUCUGUUGUUAGAGAAGUAAGAGCGUGAGAGUAACUGUUCACGUUUCGACGGUAUCUAACCAGAAAGCCACGGCGAACUACGUGCCAGCAGCUGAGGUAAUACGUAGGUGGCAAGCGUUAUCCGGAUUUAUUGGGCGUAAAGGGAACGCAGGCGGUCUUUUAAGUCUGAUGUGAAAGGCUUCGGCUUAACCGGAGUAGUGCAUUGGAAACUGGGAGACUUGAGUGCAGAAGAGGAGAGUGGAACUCCAUGUGUAGCGGUGAAAUGCGUAGAUAUAUGGAAGAACCCCAGUGGCGAAGGCGGCUCUCUGGACUGUAACUGACGCUGAGGUUCGAAAGCGUGGGUAGCAAACAGGAUUAGAUACCCGAGUAGUC